GGGGAUUUAGUUCAGUGGCAUAAGCGCCUGCCUUUUGAGCAGGCAGUCGUGAGUUUAAUCCCCG
rnacentral:tRNA from 1 species